GACGAACGUUGGCGGCGUGCUUAAUACAUGCAAGUCAACUGAAGCAGUGGUAGCCAUAUCGCUGUGGAGGUGGCGCACGGGUGAGUAACACGUAGGUAAUCUGCCUUCAGGUCUGGCAUAACUCCGGGAAACCGGGGCUAAUAGCAGAUGAUGCAGCGGCUCGACAUCGAGACAGUUGUUAAAGCUAUGGCGCCUGAAGAUGAGCCUGCGUCUGAUUAGCUAGUUGGCGGGGUAACGGCCCACCAAGGCAACGAUCAGUAGCUGGUCUGAGAGGAUGAUCAGCCACACUGGAACUGAGACACGGUCCAGACUCCUACGGGAGGCAGCAGUAAGGAAUAUUGCUCAAUGGGAGAAAUCCUGAAGCAGCAACGCCGCGUGAGGGACGAAGGGCUUUUGCUUGUAAACCUCUGUAGUGAGAGAAAAAAAUCCCAAUCUUUGGGACAUGAUGGUAUCUCAAAAGUAAGCCCCGGCUAACUACGUG
rnacentral:rRNA from 1 species